GAUGAACGCUAGCGGCAGGCUUAAUACAUGCAAGUCGAGGGGCAGCAGGUUUGUAGCAAUACAGAUGCUGGCGACCGGCAAACGGGUGCGGAACACGUACGCAACAUUCCUUUAACUGGAAGAUAGCCCACCGAAAGGUGGAAUAAUACUCCAUAAUAUAACUGAAUGGCAUCAUUUAGAUAUUAAAGCUCCGGCGGUUAAAGAUGGGCGUGCGUCUGAUUAGGUAGUUGGCGGGGUAACGGCCCACCAAGCCUGCGAUCAGUAGCUGAUGUGAGAGCAUGAUCAGCCACACGGGCACUGAGACACGGGCCCGACUCCUACGGGAGGCAGCAGUAAGGAAUAUUGGUCAAUGGACGCAAGUCUGAACCAGCCAUGCCGCGUGGAGGAUGAAGGCCCUCUGGGUUGUAAACUUCUUUUCUUUGGGACGAAACCCCUAUUUCUAUGGGGACUGACGGUACCAGAGGAAUAAGCACCGGUUAACUCCGUGCCAGCAGCCGCCGUAAGAC
rnacentral:rRNA from 1 species